UAAUCUGCCUUUCAGUCUGGGAUAGCCAGUGGAAACAUUGGGUAAUACCGGAUACUCUUAUGCAAGGAAUUGUAUAAGAGAAAAAGUACUUUUGUGCUGCUGAUAGAGGAGCCUGCGCUUGAUUAGCUUGUUGGUGGGGGUAAUGGCCUACCAAGGCGACGAUCAAUAGCCGGCCUGAGAGGGUGUACGGCCACACUGGGACUGAGACACGGCCCAGACUCCUACGGGAGGCAGCAGCUAAGAAUCUUCCGCAAUGGGCGAAAGCCUGACGGAGCGACACCGCGUGGAUGAAGAAGGCCGUGAGGUUGUAAAAUCCUUUUAUUGUUGAGGAAUAAUUAUUAUGCUUAAGUGUAAUAUGAUGACGGUAGGCAAUGAAUAAGCCCCGGCUAAUUACGUG
rnacentral:rRNA from 1 species